UACAGAGGUCCCAAGCGUUGUUCGGAAUUACUGGGCGUAAAGGGUUCGUAGGUGGCUGGCUAAGCCAUACGUGAAAUCCCUCAGCUUAACUGGGGAACUGCGUCUGGGACUGGUCGGCUUGAGUGCAGGAGAGGAACGCGGAAUUCCAGGUGUAGCGGUGAAAUGCGUAGAUAUCUGGAGGAACACCGGUGGCGAAGGCGGCGUUCUGGACUGCAACUGACACUGAGGAACGAAAGCCAGGGGAGCAAACGGG
rnacentral:rRNA from 1 species